rnacentral:rRNA from 1 species
UACAGAGGUCUCAAGCGUUGUUCGGAUUCAUUGGGCGUAAAGGGUGCGUAGGCGGCCCGUUAAGUCAGUGGUGAAAGCCUCCAGCUCAACUGGAGAACUGCCAUUGAUACUGGCGGGCUUGAGUACAGACGAGGUUGGCGGAAUUGAUUGUGUAGCGGUGAAAUGCAUAGAUACAAUCAAGAACACCGAUUGCGUAGGCAGCUAACUAGGCUGUAACUGACGCUGAGGCACGAAAGCGUGGGGAGCGAACAGG